rfam:Ovis aries breed Texel chromosome 6, whole genome shotgun sequence.
CUGAACUUACUUAAAAGAAAUAUCCAGUCACAGACAGGACUGACAGAUUGAGCUCUUUCUCCAUUCCAUGGAUGGUGGUGCAUGGCUAUUCCUGGUGGAGCAAUUUGUUUGGUUAAUUCUGAUAAUGAAAGAGACUCUGGCAUGCUAACUAGCUAGGCACCCCCUGAGCAGUUGGUGUCCCCCAGCUUCUUAGAAGGACACGUGGCAUUCAGCCGUCUGAGACUGAGUGCUAACAGGCAUCUGUGAUGCCCUUGGAUGUCUGGGGCUG